rnacentral:rRNA from 1 species
UAUGUGAUCGUCUCUCGCAUAUCAAUAAGCGGAGGAAAAGAAACUAACAAGGAUUCCCCUAGUAACGGCGAGUGAAGCGGGAAGAGCUCAAAUUUGAAAUCUUAAAGGGUUUCCCUUUACGAAUUGUAGUUUAAAGAAGUGUUUUCUGUUGAGGUUUUGGUAAAAGUUCUUUGGAAUAGGACAUCAUAGAGGGUGAGAAUCCCGUAUUUGACCUUUACUUUCAACUUUGUGAUACACUUUCAAAGAGUCGGAUUGUUUGGGAAUGCAGUCCAAAAUGGGUGGUAAAUUUCAUCUAAAGCUAAAUAUUGGCGAGAGACCGAUAGCGAACAAGUACCGUGAGGGAAAGAUGAAAAGAACUUUGAAAAGAGAGUUAAACAGUACGUGAAAUUGUCAAAAGGGAAGCGUUUGACACCAGUGUUGUUUUUCUGAAAAUCAAUUAAAGAACUGUUUAUGCUAAGUUGUUUAGACUUUAUCAGCUAACUGUUUAGUUUUGAGCUUUUCUUUAAUGCACUCUUCAGUUAACAAGUUAACAUCAAUUUCUUUUGCUGUAAAAAAGCUUGAGGAAGGUGGCUUGAGAUUCGUCUUAAGUGUUUAUAGCCUCUUGCCUAUGCAGUCGGAGAGAUUGAGGUCUGCAGCGUAGAUCCUUCGGGGCUAAAUGCAUUUGUGCUAAGUUAUAGCAUUUUAUAGACAACUUGUUGACUAUGAUUUGUCUUGUAGCUUACUCGCUUAUGUUAUUUUACCUACGCUUAGGAUGUUGACACACGCGCGUGCUCG